rnacentral:rRNA from 1 species
UACGAAGGGGGCGAGCGUUAUUCGGAAUCACUGGGCGUAAAGCGUGCGUAGGCUGUUCAGAAAGUCAGGAGUGAAAGCCCAAGGCUCAACCUUGGAAGUGCUCUUGAAACUUCUGGACUAGAAUUCAGGAGAGGAUAGCGGAAUUCCCAGUGUAGCAGUGAAAUGCGUAGAUAUUGGGAGGAACACCAGUGGCGAAGGCGGCUCACUGGACCGGUAUUGACGCUGAGGUGCGAAAGCGUGGGGAGCAAGCAGG